GACGAAGGGGGCUAGCGUUGUUCGGAAUUACUGGGCGUAAAGCGCGUGUAGGCGGUUGUUCAAGUCGGGUGUGAAAGCCUUGAGCUCAACUCAAGAAAUGCACUCGAUACUGGAUGACUUGAGGACCGGAGAGGAUAGUGGAAUUCCCAGUGUAGUGGUGAAAUACGUAGAGAUUGGGAAGAACACCAGUGGCGAAGGCGGCACUCUGGGCCGGUACUUACGCUGAGGAGCGAAAGCGUGGGGAGCGAACAGG
rnacentral:rRNA from 1 species